UGGCGGACGGGUGAGUAACGCGUGGGUAACCUGCCUUACACAGGGGGAUAACACCUGGAAACAGGUGCUAAUACCGCAUAAGCGCACAGGGCCGCAUGGCCCGGUGUGAAAAACUCCGGUGGUGUAAGAUGGACCCGCGUCUGAUUAGCUUGUUGGCGGGGUAGGGGCCCACCAAGGCGACGAUCAGUAGCCGGCCUGAGAGGGUGGACGGCCACAUUGGGACUGAGACACGGCUCAAACUCCUACGGAAGGCAGCAG
rnacentral:rRNA from 1 species